UGUUGUGGUCACACGCACACACGUUAUCCGAUUGUAGUUUGAUUAAGGCGUAUACGUGGCGGAAAAACCGAAUUCCAAUCGCAUUAUCUAGGUGUCUUAAUCGGAUAAACAGAACUCCGAUUUUAGUGUGCUUACGUGCACUUACGUUGCCCAGCUAGAGUCCAAUUAAGGCAAUAAUUUUUUUUUUUUAACGUGUAUGUAAACUACGGUGGCCGACACGGGCCAAACGGACGGCAACGACCAAAUACGUUUCAGCUUCAAGUACAGAAACGAUGCAAAAUCAGAAACUCAAACACAAGUCUAAACGAAGUACAAAAAGAGGAACGUGGUGCAACUGCUAAAUAAGAUAAAAUGAUUAGAGACUGAUAUAAACACUCAUUAUCACAGUCUUCCAUACCAUAUAACGCUGCACAGUAGGUGUUAUGUCUGUUAAUGACAGAAGUUAACUUGUAAACAGUUAUGAAGUAUCUCCACUGUGUGUGUAUAUAAAGAGGUAGUGAAGAAUAUUAGUACUCUUCUCAAUAACAAUAAUAAUCUACAAGUAAAUGUGCAGCCUUGUAACGUCUGGUGUAAAAUACAAUAAAAUAAACGUCACGUAAUGUGCAGCAGUGAACAUAAUAUAUGAAUAUAAUCAAAUAAAAGUCACAUUACCGUUCACACCGUAUUUUCAUGCACAAUAGUUCAGCCAGCUGUUCUGUCUCUCUCUCCACCCCAUGUCAGAGCUAUAGGUCCAGGUUUGAGUCUAGUUUGCAUGUUCUCCCUAUGUCUGCAUGGGUUGCAUUAAGCAAGACAUGCUCAAUAAAUGCACAGCUAACUGUUCAUUCUUUGAUGUUGUUUUGCGGGCAAUAUCUUUAAAAACAUCUGCAAAAGUGGACUCUUGACAGUUUGCAUUUUCAAAAUCAACUCCGGUGACAUGUACUACUACUUUGCUGUUACUCUUCAAUAUAUCACCACUUACAUCCUGCCCAAAUGGUUGAUUUGUUCUAAAAAUUACUGACCCAAAUAAAAUAAAACACAAACUAUAUCAGGUUUGAGGUGAUAAUGUAUUUCUAAACUUUAACUUCAUGACAGCUGCUAAUUUCCCAUCUUGAAACUGCAGCUUAGUAGUCACAUAAACCACAGUCUUAACACCUGUACCCCCAGAAAACAUCGUCAUUCACAGGUGCACCACACACUCCACUCUGCAGUGGAAGCACAAAUCGCAACGGAAAUUUGUUCGUGGGAAAUCUUCCUCUCCCAUCAGUGCAUAAUCCAAAAUUAUCAAGGGAAUUUUGUAACAAAUUUAAGAUGUUCAGAAAAUCAUGUCUCUGUGACUACAAGUUUGGUUGGUUUGCGAUUAUUACAAGUGGUUUUCAUGCUUACUAGAAAUAUGUGCACAAAACCAAAACAACAGCUGUUGGUUCAGAAGAGGGUAAAGUCAGAUGUCUAUGUCAAAUUGGAAAACCCCUUGCUGAGCAGUCUUAACAUCUGUACAAAACAGCUUCACCCCAGUUCACACAGUGAGACUGCAGUUUUUGUAGAUUAAUGCAUCAUUAGAGUACCAAUCACUGGGGAAAGAAAAGAAACAGGAUCAAAACCGAUUCCUCCACUACAGCUGAGUAUCUGAUCAAUAGCAAUCUCUAGUAAUAUGAGUUUCUGAUGAGCAACACAAAUACAGGCCCUUACUCCUUACUUGUCAUUUAGAAUUUAAGACUUGGAUGAAAUAAGAUUAAGAUAGUACUUUAUUGAUCCCCAUUGGGGAAAUUCAAAUGUUACAGCAGUACAACAAUGACCAGAAAGAAAUUAAAGAAAUUAAAUAGGACAACAACAUUAAACAUUAAACGCGACAACAGGCAACAAGCAGCAAGAAGUACCGUACAUAAAGUACAGUACACAAAGUGACAGCAACACAAAGCAACAGCAAAUGUCUUCAAGAAACCACACAAGUCCAGUUGUCCUUGUUGUAGCUUGUUUUUCUUUUCGCAAAACUGAACUUAACCCAUUUACUGGAUACACAGUUGUCACUGAGGUCACUGAGAUGGAGAGAGGUAUUCACAGCUAACAACAUGUAGCAAACAGAUGCAUAGAUAGCGAAAAAAGUAGGACAGGUGCUCUGUGUAACAUAAAAAGUCCCCCAGCAGCCUAGGCUUAGCAGCAUAACUAAGAGACGGUUAAGUCCAGCCCUAACUAUAAGCUUCGUUAAAAAGUAAAGUCUUAAGCCGGACCUUAAAGGUAGAGAGGGUGUCUGCCUCCUGAACCCAAACUAGGGGCACAUUCUACUUUUAGUAACCCUCCACUCAGAGAGCAGUAGCUAUUUUGGGGGUGAUAUGAUACUAUAGCAAGGGAAAUUCAGCCCCAGCACUGACUGGGACCAGUACUGGUGCUGAUCCAUCGUGAAUUGUGAAAGUAAAUGUGCAUCCCAUGUGGAAAAACUUUUCUCUUGAAAAUGACAGAGGGAGAAUCCUGGACGACAUGUUGAUGUGUGUGUGUGUUUGAGGCAAACCUCCCACGGGAUGCAUCCAUGGUACCAGGCGUGACUCUUCAGGUUCGCGGCGCUUAGCUUCAGCUCCUCCUCCAGCUGCUUCCUCAGUUUGUCUGAUGCGGAAUGACGGACUGUCAGCGUUCCCAACUUCACACAUCUCCUCCCGUAAAAGUCCGACAAAACGCACCGCCGCCGACCACAACCCAGAUGAUUGCCCACCGCCACUGCGCAUGCCCGAUGCUGUGAUGUCUGCUACGUGUGAUUACUGUUUUUUAGUAGUUUAUAAAAUGACUUUUUCCAAAUUUUUCAAAAUGAUUCAAUUGUUUCUUAAAAUCAUCAAAAUCAAUUAAAAUCAUUCUCAAAUACAAACUAAAAGAUGACAAGUCAUUGUUUUUGUUUUUUUACAAGCGACCAACUUCUCUGCAUCAUUCUCUGUAUUUUUGUUUUGUGUCUAUUUUAUAAAUCUUAAAGUCUUCUUUCUGUCAGCCCCUAUUUUAGAUGGAUUAAAGAUAAAUAAGCUUCAAUUCUCCAAACCAGUUGAUUUGGUUCAGAGUGCCAUACAUGACCGUGAAACCAAACUAAUUUUAUGAUAAAAAAUUAAUAAAUAAA